rnacentral:lncRNA from 1 species
UCUUCUUCUUCUCUUCUCCUUCUCCUUCUAGAUCACUCCCUCUCUCUCUAAGCUCUUGGAAGAUGGAAGAAUGAAAUGGAAGUGAUGAAAGAAAAGGGUCCCUAUCUAUAAAAAAUUAGGACCGUUGGAUUUGCGGCAAGUGGUAAAAUCUAGUGAGGAAAGAGAAAGUUGAGUUGAAGAUGAGUGAUUUUACAUGAUGCGACAGCAGUGCAAAAAACAGAGGAAAAAUCCUUCAUCAACGGCGCAAGGCCUACAGCGCAUAUGGUGUAGCACGUAGGCCUACUUCGCACAGGCCCAAGCGUGCAGGCCUACUGCACGGAUGGCGCGUGCACAGGGCGCAUGGCGUCUGGCCAUGUCU